CCGUGGCACUGUCAAGUCAUCAGACGCGGUGAUUGCGAGGCCUGUGGGAAAGUACAAAAGCCUGAGCUAGAUUACCCCUCUCAUCGAGCCCACCUGUGUGGCACCUGUUUCUUAUCACCCCACUAAGUUCCCGCCUCACAGGGUAGUCUGCCUAGCUAUUAAUCCUAUAUAUAGCCAGUGCCUCCACCCCCGAGAGAGAGACUGAAGCACGGAAGGAGCCGCGGGGAGCGGACCGGUAGAGGCUUCGGGGGAGACUGAAGCACGGAAGGAGCCGCGGAGAGCGGACCGGUAGAGGCUUCGGGGCAGACUGUAUAAGGAGAGAAUAAAGAAAAGCCUGACCACCGCCAGACCUUGUCGUGUGUCUUUCCUGCCGGCCGGGAGCGACAUCGACAUUUGGUGGCCCGCACGGGGAUUGAUCAACCCCGAGACGCGGCGGUGGACUGCAUUCUCCUACACAGUGCUGCAGCUGCAGGACAGGAAUCGGGACGAGAGCCAAUGUGGGUCCCAGAGAGGUUGACGCGACAAGUCCCUCGACUGAAGAUCAGGCCUGUUCCACCAGAGGCCAACCGCAGACCCAACAACAAGAUGAGCCCUAAAAGAACUGCAGGACAAUCCCUUUUUGGGGGCCUGGAACGGCUUGCUCCCCUAUGUGCUACCCUUGUAUACGCAUGGCUCGCUCGCAUGGCCUACGACCGCGUUUAAAAGUGACAGGCUUCCCACAUUCUCCUCCCUAGACAACAACAUGUAGCAGGGUGGGUGAGUCAAUGACGGGUAAGAGCGUGCCUCCCCAGCACGACUCAACCUAAGCCAGGCCCUACCCCGUUCCGCUCGAAAGCCGCUGGAUUGUUAAAUUUCUCUCCGAGGGGAUUCGUGGAGAGAAAUGAGUGCAUGCCUAUGUGCAACCAGGUUCCGUCCGGUUCAUUCCUGGCCCUAGAAAAAAGGACGAGGGCCUCAGGGCCUUGGUGGACCCUGGGACGGCCGACCAGGGUCUACGCUAAGGGCCUACGGUGGGCCUCAGUUCGGGGCAUAGGCCUCUGCACUCUAUCCAGGACGGGCUGCGAUGCGCGUAGCCAUCAUUUAAAAUAAAAUAGGGGGAGAUGUUGGGAGCCGUGGCACUGUCAAGUCAUCAGACGCGGUGAUUGCGAGGCCUGUGGGAAAGUACAAAAGCCUGAGCUAGAUUACCCCUCUCAUCGAGCCCGCCUGUGUGGCACCUGUUUCUUAUCACCCCACUAAGUUCCCGCCUCACAGGGUAGUCUGCCUAGCUAUUAAUCCUAUAUAUAGCCAGUGCCUCCACCCCCGAGAGAGAGACUGAAGCACGGAAGGAGCCGCGGGGAGUGGACCGGUAGAGGCUUCGGGGGAGACUGAAGCACAAAAGGAGCCGCGGGGAGCGGACCGGUAGAGGCUUCGGGGCAGACUGAAGCACGGAAGGAGCCGCGGAGAGCGGACCGGUAGAGGCUUCGGGGCAGACUGUAUAAGGAGAGAAUAAAGAAAAGCCUGACCACCGCCA